GUCAUCUAAACUACAUCACUAACUCCUCACUCUCCUUCUUCUAACCUUCGGCCAUCUGAUCAUCAUCUCAUUUCAUCACAUGCUUAAUUUCUGUCCAAGUUAUUAAGAAAGAAAAGUGAGAUAAGAUUGAAGAAAGAAAAAGGAAAGAGAAAACUAAAACUCCACCCUUAUCUCUCCUUGUUCCCAACGUUUCCAAUCCUUUUUCCUUUCACCAAAUAUUCUAACCUUUCACCACUUAUUACUCUAAGUUAUCUAGUAAGAAGAAAAGAAACCAAAGAGAAAGAAAAAAAAAAAGGAGAGAAUGACCGAAAUUGAGAGGAUGAAAAAGAGAGCAUGAACACUCAAACCUUCAUUCAAAUUCUUCUUCCAUUUUCAAGAACAUAACCUCUCUUCUUAAGAAUCCAAGUUAGCCCAAUAAUAACUCUCAUUAUCUUCUUUGUUUUCCAUCUCAAGAUCAUCAAGACAAUUAAGCCUAGGAGUCUCUAAAGAUCAAGGAUACAUCACUUCUAAUAGUAAGAACAAAUCUUCCUCCUCUCUUCUUGUAAAUUCGCCCAUGGUCCUUCUAUGAUCCAAAAAGUUGUUUUGAUGGUAUCUUGUUCAUAAACCAUGUUCUAGUAUUCUUAAGAAGUUCAUACAUCAAGAAUCCAAAUUCAUAAGGGAGGUUGUUGUGAUCAUAAGGAUUAAAGGAGUAAACUUAGAAGCACUAACAAGGAAGGUAAGGGUUAGGAUAGUUAGAAAGCUUUUUCUUUGGAUAAAAUGCUUCUAUUGAUGUUUUAAUGAUGUUUUGAUGAUGGUUAAUGAUGAUUUUGAGUGUGCUUGAUGACGCUUGUAUGAUGAAUGAAACAUUAAAGUAUGUUGAUGAUGGUUUAUAUGAAUUUUUUAUGGAUAUAUUUGAUGAUGUAUGAUGGCCGAAUUAUGUAUGCAAUCUUGGGGCUAAAAAAUAUGCAUGGUUUUGUAAAAGAUGAAAAUCAAGAGAAGAAAUCAUAAAAGGAUGCUCAUAAUAUUUAAGAAAGUAAAAGAAUGAAAGAUUAAAAGAAAGGGUCUUAGAGACUUGAAAAUGUUAUAGAAGCAUAUAUGUUGAAUAUGGAAUGGAAUAUGUUACACCUCUAUAUUUUUGUGGUUAAGUCAUACUUUUACAUAGGUUGAAAAUCAAGAUAAGAACUUAUAAAGAAGUUCUUAAUAAAAUUAAUUAAGUAAAAGAUUGAAAGAUUGAAAGAAAAGUAGUUAAAAGAGUCUAGGAGAAUCAUAAAAACAAAGUUGAUGUCCAUGUAAAAUAUAUCAUGCACCACACUUGGUUUUAAAAUGUAACUUGGAGUAAAAAGUGGGCUAAAAGUAUAAAUAACAAACGACAAUGUUUAAAAAUAUGACCAUAGGAGUCCUAGAAAUAAAAAUUUAAUUAUAAAAAAAUGUUAGUAGAGUUUAGGAAUAAAAGUGUAAAUAUAACAAGAUAAAAGAUAAGGGUCAAAGAUUAGGGAUAAAAUGGUAAUUUAGGCUAAGAGGAUAAAAGAGUCCUUAGCAAAAAAAUUUAAGAUAAAAUAGUAAGUUGGGAGUCAUAAGGGACAAAUUUGUUAUUUUUGAUAAAAAAAAAUAAAGUUAGGAUAAAUGAAUAUGGAAAAUAAGGGUAUAAUGUUCAUUUAGAUAAAAAUUAAGAAUAAACUAGUAAAAUAAGGGAUAAAAAGGUCAUUGCAUAAAAAGUUAAAGUUAGAUUAGAUAAUUAUGAAAUAUAAAUGAAAAAUAGUCAUUUUGAAUAAAAGAGAAUAUUAAAAUAGAUAAUUUAAUAUAAAGAUAAAAUAGUCAUUUUGAUAAAAUAGGAGGUUAAAAUAUUCAAAGUGAGAAGUUAGGUGCAAAAUCAUCAUUUAAGAAAAAGUAUAAUGCUUAAAUGGUAAAAUUGAAGAGGAAAGGGUAAAACAAUCAUAUUAUAAAAUGUUAAGGAUAAGAUGGUAAUUUAGAGAAAAAGAAAUAUAAAAUAUUU